CGCUGGUUCACAAGGGAGGGAGCCGUUAGGACGCACUUGCAGACGUCUUGACAGUCGGUGAUGAAUGGAGGAGGAACAGGAAGGAAGGACGAGAGAAAAGGGAUGCACAACUGAUUUAUGGGCCCCUAACUGGCGUGUCGUGGCAACAGAGAGACGGGCUGAGAGAGAGCAUGGUCCAGGAUGGGGCAAGGUUGGUGCGUGGGAGAGCCACGGAGAAGUAGCAUUGUCGUGAAAAGCAAGAACGUAGAACUGGAAGAGAAAGGCAAGACCACAGGAAGCAACUGUGGCCCAGAGAUGCCAAAGGGCCAGACACCCCUGCUGCAGCCACAGAGUGUCCCCGCCCCCAGGCCCUGCCUGUACAGCCUGGACACCUGGCCCCACUACGGACAUCUCUGCUGCUUCUCUCUGGCAGGACCUGGCGCUGUGACUCAACCUGGUGGAGUCCUUUGCCUGAAAGCUUUUCCUCCUCCGGUUCCUGCCCCGACACACACUCUAUUUAUAUCGCGCUAAGUUGGAAACAGCUCAAAGAGGAAAACAAUAGGAAAACCACUAAGCAAACUCCUAUGGCAAUGGGAGGGGUCAGCUGGGCCACGCUGACGAGAUGUGGAGUCUCACCUCUGCCUCAACUGGCUUGGCCUCUGCUCCCCAAGCAGGCAGCUCUGAUCCCCGGCCUCUGACGACAGUCCCUGCAAACCCACAGAAUGACAGCUCCUUCGGGCCACACGCCUGCAGUGCCCUGGGCGGGCAGGCAUGGCUCCUGGCCCCAGCUGGGAGAGGACGAGAAAGGUUCCAGUCUGGCGCUGCUGGAUGAACCCGGUGUUCUGGUGCCCUCUCUCUCUCUGUCCCUUCUGCCACGGGAGUACCCCCGAGAGAGGAAUCAAGGGGCUUGAAAGAGUGGGCAGAGGAGAGAAUCCUAACAGUUGAGAUGGGGCUCUGCAGAAGCAGGGCAUCCCUCCAGGCACUUCCUCGGGCCGCUUCAAAUAGAUGGCCGAGUGGGGCUGGGUGGUUAGAAUGGGGGCUUCUAUGACUAAGACUUCUGGGGCCCCGGAGGCAAGGGUUUCACACUCUUCCCAACCUGGAACAUAGAUCAGUGGGGAAAAUGUCGCUUCAAACCACAACUUCUUUCUCUAAAGACUUGACCCCGUCAGAGACCUCGGGAUAUAAAAAGGUGGGCUUGUGGGGGAAUUUAGGAGAAAAGCAUUGGUAAGAUUUGAAUUCUCAGCACAGUAGAGAGGAAUCUGGCUUCCCAGAGCCAGUCAAGGAAGGGAGGUAAGAAGGCGGGGUAUGAAGGGAGUAGGAGGGGGAAGGAAGUUGGAUCGGCACAAUGGGCCGGGGAGCUUUGCGCGGUGGUGUGACCAGGGAGCAUUCCCAGGUGACUGGAUAGCCAGAAUAACUUUGCAGAACAUUUCAGAAAUGUGACUUUAAAUUGUUUGCUGUGUGAUGUAAUCCCUCCCCUGCGGCCAACAAAUUUCAUUAAAAGUUGUGCU